GGGUGCGGGGUGGGCUUCAGGGGCUGCCGCGGGCUCGCUGGGGGCGGGGACCCGGUGCCGGUUCUCGGUGCGGGCUCCCAUCCGCCGCCUGCGGCCCCGCAGCGUUACCGCCCCGUGCGGGUCCCGUCCGUGCCCGGCCCCGGCAGCCGCCCCCGUGCCGCCUGGCGCAGUCCCGCAGGGAGGGCUCGGUGUCACCUCGGCGGAGGUGCUGCCCCCGAGCGCUGCGUGCCGCGGCACUCGGGCUCCGCGGGCACUCCAGGUGUCCUGGCUUCCCCCCGGGGGAGCAGCCGGGGCUGUGCGGUGGUGGGUGAGAGCCGGAGAAUCCUCGGCUGUCUCCAGUUCCCGCUUGGCAUUUGAAGGACUUUAGAAGGAAUGUUGUCAGGACUUCAUUAGUUCACUGUGGAGCUCAUCGUUCGCUAAUAGUACAGACUUACCUAAACAAAGCUUUGAAAAUAA